AUGAGAAUUUGGACUUGAAUUCCACAAAAGAUGUUCAUGAAGGAACACACAUCCCCCUAAGGAGCCAUCAGGCGAGUGGAGACCAAGAACAUCCAUGAAAAGGCUGUCUGGUUGGGAUUGCAUCCAUGAGCCAACACAGUCGUUCGCAAGCAGGCCUCAGACCUGUGACCACUCAGCUGCAGGUGAAUGAAUUCCUGCACCCGGCGCCUCCUGCCCCUCUCCCU